rnacentral:rRNA from 1 species
UAACUGAAGAGUUUGAUCAUGGCUCAGAUUGAACGCUGGCGGCAGGCUUAACACAUGCAAGUCGAGCGGGGGAAGGUAGCUUGCUACCGGACCUAGCGGCGGACGGGUGAGUAAUGCUUAGGAAUCUGCCUAUUAGUGGGGGACAACAUCUCGAAAGGGAUGCUAAUACCGCAUACGUCCUACGGGAGAAAGCAGGGGAUCUUCGGACCUUGCGCUAAUAGAUGAGCCUAAGUCGGAUUAGCUAGUUGGUGGGGUAAAGGCCUACCAAGGCGACGAUCUGUAGCGGGUCUGAGAGGAUGAUCCGCCACACUGGGACUGAGACACGGCCCAGACUCCUACGGGAGGCAGCAGUGG